GUUUAAAGCCAUAACUCCCCAAAUACACCUCAUCUGAUCUUGGAAGCUAAGCAGGGUCUUUGGCUUGGUUAAUACUUUAAUGGGACACUGCCUGGGAAUUCAGGAUGCUUUAAAAA
rnacentral:rRNA from 1 species